CACGUAGGGUGCGAGCGUUGUCCGGAAUUAUUGGGCGUAAAGAGCUCGUAGGCGGUGUGUCACGUCGGCCGUGAAAACCUGCAGCUUAACUGUGGGCGUGCGGUCGAUACGGGCAUCACUGGAGUUCGGCAGGGGAGACUGGAAUUCCUGGUGUAGCGGUGAAAUGCGCAGAUAUCUGGAGGAACACCGGUGGCGAAGGCGGCAUCCUGGACCGAUAUUGACGCUGAGGAGCGAAAGCCAGGGGAGCAAACGGG
rnacentral:rRNA from 1 species